GAUUUCGAUCAUGGCUCAGAUUGAACGCUGGCGGGAUGCUUUACACAUGUGCAAUUCGAACGGCAGCACGGACUUCGGUCUGGUGGCGAGUGGCGAACGGGUGAGUAAUGUAUCCAGACGUGCUAAUGCUUGAGGAUAACUACGCGAAAGCGCGCAACUAAUACCGCAUACGCGCAGAGGAAAGCGGAGGGGACCUUCGGGCCUCGCACUAUUAAGAAGCGGCCGAUAUCGGAUUAGCUAGUUGGUGGGAGUAACGGCUCACCAAGGCGACGAUCCGUAGCUGGUUUGAAGGACGACCAGCGCUACGCUGGGACUGAGACUGAACUCCUGCGGAGGCUGGCAGUGGGGAAUUUGGACAAUGGAAGCCCUGAAUCAAAGCCAUCCCGCGUGCGAUGAGGCCUUCGGGUUGUAAGCCGCCUUUGUGGAAAGAAACGGCACGGGAUAUUACCCCGUGCAACUGACGUACCUGCAGAAUAAGCACCGGUAACUACGUUGCCAGCAGCCGCGGUAAUACGUAAGUGCAAGCGUUAAUCGGAAUUACUGGGCGUAAAGCGUGCGCGGGCGGAAAGAAAAGAUGUGAAAUCCCAGAGCUUAACUUUGGAGCAUUUUUAACUACCGAGCUAGAGUGUGUCAGAGAGUGGAAUUCCGCGUGUAGCAGUGAAAUGCGUGAUGCGGAAGGCGCGAAUCGUAAAAGCAUCUGGGAUAACUGACGCUCAUGCACGAAAGCGUGGGAGCAAGCAGGAUUAGAUGCCACGUGAGUCCACGCCACUGACGAUGUCGCUAACAGGCUGGGGCCUUCGGGCCUUGGUAGCGCAACUAACGCGUGAAAUUGACCGCCUGGGAGGUACGGUCGCAAGAUUAAAACUCAAAGGAAUUGACGGACCCGCUACAAGCGGUGGAUGAUGUGGAUUAAUUCGAUGCAACGCGAAAAUACCCCCUACCCGUGACAUGUCUGGAAUCCCGAAGAGAUUUGGGAGUGCUCGCAAGGGAACCGGAACACAGGUGCUGCAUGGCUGUCGUCAGCUCGUGUCGUGAGAUGUUGGGUUAAGUCCCGCAACGAGCGCAACCCUUGUCAUUAGUUGCUACGAAAGGGCACUCUAAUGGAACGCCUUGAGACGGCAAACCGGAGGAAGGUGAGGAUGACGUCAAGUCCUCAUGUCCCUUAUGGGUAGGGCUUCGUCGCUACAAUAGUUGCGGGACAGGGUAAACCAAACCACUGAAGAGGAGCCAAUCCCGAAACCCGAUCGUAGUCCGGAUGCCAGUCGCAACUCAGCUGCGUGAAGUCGGAAAUCGCUAGUAAUCGCGGAUCAAACAUCACCGAAUGGUCAGGUCUUGCUUCACACCUUAUCACACCAUGGGAGUGGGUUUUACCAGAAGUAGUUAGCCUAACCGUAAGGAGGGGCAGUUCACGGUAGGAUUCAUGACUGGGGUGGGAUAACUCAGACGCUCUAUUGAUGCUUAGAAC
rnacentral:rRNA from 1 species